CCGCCCUUUAUGCAAGAAGAAAAAACAUGUUAACUACUAAUCUUACUUUAUGCUAAAUAAAAUGACCGUACCUGUGUUGGCCUUGGUAUAAAGUUCCAGUCUAGCAGAUUAAUUAUAAAGUUCUAGUCUAGCAAAUUGAUUAUACAAGGACAGUUUUGUUUGAUCAUAAUAGAGUCAUAAUUGGGUGAAUUAUAAAAUAAUAGAUUUAUUACUACACAUUUUUAUAUGCAAAACUAUUUUCGAAUUAUAUAUAGACUCAAUUAAAAUUAUAUAAAUAUUAUAUUAUGCAAAAAUAUUUUUGUUAUUUUAAAAGAUAUUUUUAAAAUAAAACCGUAGCGUUAGCACAUGCGUGUUAUACUAGUCUAUAUCUAUACCUAUCUAUAAAGAGCGAAAAUUUCAGUUUGCCAAAUAUUUUCUUCUGCCCCUAAUCCUGUCCGUGUUCGGUUACUGAUUCGCCUUCUGCGUCUAACGUUUCUAGAAGGGCAAAAACAAAAUAAAAAACAUUCUAGGGUUGCUAAUGCAAAAUCUCAUAUUACUCCGCUCUCGCCUCCGUAGGCCCAAUCAGCCCACAAUCGUUACGAUGGAAGGUAGAAAAAAAAUAAAAAAUUUUCUAGAAUUUCCAAUGUAAAAUCUCCAAUUUACUUUUAUUUUAUUUUUAAAAUCGGCUGAAAAUUAAUAAAUAUAUAGUAAUUCAUAGAAAAAUCUAAAAAUUAUAAAACAAAUUUUGUUCAUCUCUACAUAUGUAGAUCCAUGC
rnacentral:lncRNA from 1 species